rnacentral:tRNA from 1 species
GGCAAGAUGGCCGAGUGGUCUAAGGCGCUGUGUUCAGGUUUCUCCUCCUUUGGAAUUCCUCGCAGUCUUCGGGCGUGGGUUCGAACCCCACUCUUGUCA